AGGGUAAUAGCUCAGUGGUAGAGCGUAUGCUUAGCAUGCACAAGGUCCUGGGUUCAAUCCUCAGUACCUCCA
rnacentral:tRNA from 1 species